rnacentral:lncRNA from 1 species
CUUAUGGACACAGUCCUAGGAUUACUAACUCGGCUACACAAGUGCUCUCCUAACACCUUGAUACAACCCACACACUCACACUAGCCUUCUACCCUUAUCCGCGACCUCCACACCUUCUUGUCUAGGGCCAUGUCCUCAGUAAGCUGUAGCUGCUCCAUGUCAUGUCUAAUCACCUCCCUCCAGUAUUUCUUCGGCCUACCUCUACUCCUCCUAAAUCCAUCCAAAGCUAGCCUCUCACGCCUACGAACUGGGGCAUCCGUGCCUCUCCUCAUCACAUGCCCAAACCAUCUCAGUCUUUCUUCUCG